rnacentral:rRNA from 1 species
GAUGAACGCUGACAGAAUGCUUAACACAUGCAAGUCUUUGGCGAAGCUGUGCUUGCACAGCCUAGCCAAGGCGGACGGGUGAGUAACGCGUAAGGAACUUGCCCUGCAGUCAGGGAUAACAGACGGAAACGACUGAUAAGACCUGGUAAAGUCAGGCGGACUCAUGUCCAGCCUGAUGAAAAGAGAUGCUGCAGGAGAGCCUGCGGUCCUAUUAGCUUGUUGGUGGGGUAACGGCCCACCAAGGCGAUGAUAGGUAGCCGGCCUGAGAGGGUGGACGGCCACAAGGGGACUGAGAUACGGCGCUUACGCCUACGGGAGGCAGCAGUGGGGAAGAUUGGACAAUGGGGGCAACGCUGAUCCAGCAAUUCUGUGUGGACGAGUAAGGUUUUCGGAUAGUAAAGUGCUUUCAGCAGGGAAGAAAAAAAUGACGGUACCUGCAGAAGAAGCGACGGCUAACUACGUG